AACCUUAUGGACCUGCGGGCGUAUACCUGCGGAGGGAUCAUUAUCAAAACAGCGGCCUUCGGGCCUUGCUGCACCCUUGUCUUUUGCGCACCGUAUUAUUUCCUCGGCGGGCUUGCCUGCCGGUUGGACAUUAUCAAACCUUUUUGUAGUUGCAAUCAGCGUCAGAAAAACAAUAAUUAUUACAACUUUUAACAAUGGAUCU
rnacentral:misc_RNA from 1 species